CCCCGCUGCCUCAACCCCCCCACCACCAGGCCUCCACCACCAAUCCGCUAUGCCGCCCUCGCUCCCCCUGCCGCCGCCAUCUCCCUCUCCCUCCCUCUCCCCGAUCUCUGACCCAGCCACCACCCAUGGCACCAGCCAAAGCAGCCACCAGCUAUGGCGACGGCGAAGCUAGAGGCUGUCGGAUCCGGGAUCAGGGCGGCGCAUAGCCCCUCCUCCCGUGAGAUCCUCUGCAUCGAGCAGCUCCUCCGCCCGCUGCAUUGUCUCCCCAUCCGGAUCGAGCAGUUCCUCUUCACCCGCUCUACCGACCCCCUCCAUCAGUCGUCGCUAUGCAGUACACUUCCACCGCUUCCGCCGCCUCCCAAGUCGUCGUCCUCCCGAUCCCCUCCCCUCCCUUUCCUCUGCUCCGGGCACACCGUCUCCGUCGAGCCGGGCGCCCCAUCCACCUCUACGGGCGUCGGCGGCAUUGGUGUAUGAGCAUACAUGCGGAUCAUGGCCGGCACCAUCCUCGGCAGCGGCCACGGCUUCUACGUCAUGCACCGCAUCGAGACCUCCUACAAGGCAAGGGUGAAGGAGAGGCUGUGUCGAUGGCAAGCUGGAGUGCCUCUACCAUGGCUGGCAGUUCGAUGGCCAGGGCAAGUGCGUCAAGAUCCCACAGGUUAAUGGAGCAAUGAUGUGGUGGUAUAACAUAUCUGCGGCGGUUCUUCAAGCAGCUCUGCAAGUGGAGGAUCGCGUCCAGGGUAGAGGGAUCACAAGGACUGACAAGAUGCAGGGAAUGUGCCAACUUCCUUUGGCAAAAUCUUGCUACCUUGCCAUAGAUGGCUACUACCUUAUAGCCCAGUAUUCUACUGCUUUCUUCUAUAAUUUGUCACCCUCCACUUCCUUAGGCAAAAUUGAAAAUUAAGUUGCAGCAUUAAUUAGGUACUGCUAUAGUCUUUUUUAGACAUUUCUGCCUCCUUUUUCCCCUGUUUGCGCGAAAGAUCAUGUGUCCUUUCCAUUUGGAGUCUAUGUACGAAACACCAAUUAUCCAGUCCAUUUUUCACAAAAAGAUUAGUGUUCUUAUUUAGUCCUGAUGUUUUGGUUUAUGGAGUUGUUGAUUAUUUGGUCAGAUUUCCUUAGUUGCUUUGUGCAUGAGAAUAAGCUGAUAAGAACAGAACAUUGAUACUUUGCAUGCUAUUAGUAAAAUGAUUUAUUUUCUUUUGUCACCUUGUAUGAAUGAGUACCUCAUUUUAACUAGCUGGAGAACGAAGCAUUGUCAUAGCUGAAUUUGUGUUAUCAUUCUAAUGAACUUGUUCGUUUUCUGAAUGAAAUGUUCAUAAUAUAUUGGCUCCACAUUUUGACCUUACCUUCCAUUCCCUUCCCUGAUGUGCAGGAGCAGUUGCACGGCUGCAACAUCACCAACUCGACUCGGAUGCAGGGAGAGGAGACGCCUAGCUGCAGGGAAGCUGCAACUCUAGGUUAAGGCCUCCCUCUGCAUCUCCUUGUUUUGGUUUCCUAGGCUUGGUCCCUGAUUUGGUGCUGCUCCAAAUUUGCUUACAUGCUUGAUUUCAUUGUUUGCCAAUUAAGUUGCUUGCUUGAUGCCCCAAAAUUUAGUAGAAUUUUGUUUAUCAAUUGGUUUGGUUGGAUUUCUCCCAAGUUAACUGAAGUUGUUACAAAAUAGGUGGUUGUUGUCCAAUUUGUUCAGUAGAAUAAAAAUUGAUGGUUGGCAUGUUUUGUUUGCUAUCUUUCAUCUCACCUUGUGUUGUCAAAGUUUAUCUUCUCUUGUCAAGGUUUUCACUGUGGUAACUAUUAAUUUGGAAGAUAAAGUGAUGGCCAAUUAUAUGUAUAUAUCCACACAACAAAUAUACCGUGUUGUAUUAUGCUUAUGCUACUUGUAUCACCAGUGUUUUCUAACUCUAGCACCUAUGUAUUUCUUUACUGUCUUGCCUAACCCUGUAUUGAUAUGUAUGUUUGCUCAAAAUUAAGUACAAGUUAGGCCGCCAUGUUAAGGCUAACCUGAGAACACUUACUCUCUCUCUCUCUAUGUCUUUAUUAAGCUCGGCUAACCUUAUAGAUGUUGUCCUUCUUUCAUCUGCAGGACAAUAUCAUGCAUAUGUUUAUUUGGUUUGAUCUUUGUAUGUGUUUAUUCAGUACGAACUCUACAUGACAUGAAGUAAUUAUUUUCUAUGUUUUUCUCAACUUUUUUUCGUUGUUACUUGAUACAUACUUAGUUUGUAGUUAAAGUUGUGGGUUAACGAUGGUGAUUUUGUUCUACUUGAAUGCAUUGGUACCCCCCCCCCCUCAUCUAGUGCACGGAUGCAACGGUGGCAAGAAGAUCAUGGCUGUGUGCAUCAUCAAGCACACCAUGGCGAUAAUUCACCUCCUCACAGAUGCUAACUCAAUCCAAAUCAUCGCGAUGCUAUCAUCCUUAGGGUGACCGUGGAAGGCAUAUACUGUUCUGUUGGCCCAGUCCUGACAAGAGUAGGUGCCUACUUUGUGAUUGUUAUCGAAGGAGUUCCAUGCUGAAGAACAUAGCUUGUAACUGUAUCUAGUUAUUACACAUGUGGAGCUUGUAACUGUGAUUGCCAUACUUGUAGAGCUUGUAGCUAGUUAUUACACUUGUAUAGCUUCUGGAGAAUGUUUGGAGUAUCACGUGUAGAGCUUGUAUAUGUUAGAGCUUAUUAUGUGUAGAGCUUGUAAAGUAUAUGUUAUUUGUACAAUAGGAGCUCUGUACUGAAUCUGGCUGAUAAUAUUUGGAGUAUUAUGUGUGUGUUU